CAGCAGCCGCCGCGGUAAUACGGAGGGGGCUAGCGUUGUUCGGAAUUACUGGGCGUAAAGCGCACGUAGGCGGCUUGGUAAGUUAGAGGUGAAAGCCUGGAGCUCAACUCCAGAAUUGCCUUUAAGACUGCCGAGCUAGCAGGUGAGAGAGGUAAGUGGAAUUCCGAGUGUGGAGGUGAAAUUCGUAGAUAUUCGGAAGAACACCAGUGGCGAAGGCGGCUUACUGGCUCAUACUGGACGCUGAGGUGCGAAAGCGUGGGGAGCAAACAGGAUUAGAUACCCCAGUAGUCCCUGUCUCUUAUAA
rnacentral:rRNA from 1 species